AUUGAACGCUGGCGGCAGGCCUAACACAUGCAAGUCGAGCGGAGCUGCGGACGGGUGAGUAAUGCCUAGGAAUCUGCCUGGUAGUGGGGGAUAACGUCAGGAAACGGGCGCUAAUACCGCAUACUAUCAGAUGAGCCUAGGUUGGAUUAGCUCGUUGGUGGGGUAAAGGCCUACCAAGUCAACGAUGCGUAACUGGGCUGAGAGGAUGAUCAGUCACACUGUAACUGAGACACGGUCAAGACUCCUACGGGAGGCAGCAGUGGGGAAUAUUGGGCAAUGGGCGAAAGCCGGAUCCAGCCAUGCCGCGUGUGUGAAGAAGGUCUUCGGAUUGUAAAGCACUUUAAGUUGGGAGGCGUUACCUACAGAAUAAGCACCGGCUAACUACGUGCCAGCAGCCGCGGUAAUAC
rnacentral:rRNA from 1 species